GUGCUCACUUCAGCAGCACUUAUACUACAAUUGGAAUGAUGCAGAAAUAAUUAGCACAGCCCCUGUGCAAGAAUGACAUGCAAAUUCAUGAAGUAUUCCAUAUUUUA